rnacentral:misc_RNA from 1 species
GUGCUUUUGGGCCAAAGCCCUUGCUACCAAAUACAUUCGGAGACAUUCGAUGGAGUGAACAAGAAGAAAAACAUAGGUCGGUUAAACCUACAACGGGUGCACACGGUGUGAGAAGGAAGAAUAGUCAAGGAGUGCACGUGCGAUGCCAGCAGCAUCCUUGAUUUAUUUUCAUUAAUGAUCCUUCCGCAGGUUCACCUACGGAAA